rnacentral:lncRNA from 1 species
UCCUUUUGGUCCAUCAUAAGUGACCUUUUAGCCUUUGGAACACCCCUUAAGAAAAUAUUUACUCCUAAAAAAAGUGUGAUUUCUGAGCUUCAACUCCAAGCUCGAAGCUCUGAUACCAUAUUGAAGUUUUGUGAUUAAUCACCAGUAGAAACCCUAGUUGCGAGGGAGAAUAGAAAGAAAAAGGAGUUAUCUGAGAAAGAGAAUAAAUGACACAGUAAAAAUUAUAUUCACCACAUACUAUACAUCUCUUACACUUACACAUAUAUACACGUGUGACUAACCACUAUUGUAACAAACUAACCAACUAAGUACUUUAUUAAACUCACUUACUUUCUAACUAAUCAAUCAUAUAUGAAUAGGCUAAACUACUCUCAUAAUAAGGCCAUUCCUUUCUCCUUAACAUGUUUAGAUUUUACGCACCUCUUGGUUGAACAUGUAUGUAGCAAAACUAGUAAAUGAAUUAAGUAGUCACCUAGUCAUUUGGUUGGUUUGCAUAAACAAAUAUAAUAAGAUUAGUAUAAAAUAACGCAUAAGUAAGAUAAUGUGUAAUUAAUUAUUUGAAUUUGAAAAACUAGUGUCUGCAUAACUGAUGGUAGGGGUGUGCAUUCGAUCGAUUCGGUUCGGUUUCAUGAAAUCAGGUUCGAUUAUUCAGUUUUCGGUUUUGUAAAUAUUGAAAUCGAAAUCGAACUGAAAUAAGUUCGAUUUAGUUCAGUUUAUUUUGGGUCGGUUUUCGGUUUGAAAAAAAAGUGACUAGCAACCUCACACUGUGACACUGAUAGGAUACAUUUACCAAAUUUUUGAAGAUGAAAACCCGAUAUUGAUGCGGAUUUAUGGAUUUAGAUAUUCCAGUCUUGUCAUAGUAAAGCAUUUUCCUACCUGGAGACGAAUUAGAUUAAACAAAUUUUUCUUUUUUAUUUUAGGAAGAUCCGCCAACUUUGAUUUGGAAGUAAUUACUGUUUCACUUGCCACAAUUAAUAUUACUAAUAUAUGAAACAAAAAUUGUACAAGAAUUGCCAGUGGUAAGUGAUGACUCGGUGGAAAGAAGAUAGAAAGACAAAUCAAAUUAUCUAAUAUCAUGUUGCAACGCAAAACAAAGAUAAAACCACCUUAUUGUGUCAAAAUAACGAGAUAAUAAAACCACCUCACUGUCUCCAGAACCAUAACUUGCUCCGAAACACUCCCUCCGAUGAUGAAACCAACAGAUGUUACCGCCGCCCGCCGAUAGAGAGAUUGAGAGCGAGAGACGAGAGGGAGAAGAGUGAAGACUGAGAGCGACUGCGACUCUAUGAUAGGGAGAAGUCAGAAGAGUAGUAGACUUAAGGUAUUU